UACGUAGGGUGCAAGCGUUAAUCGGAAUUACUGGGCGUAAAGCGUGCGCAGGCGGUUUUGCAAGACAGAUGUGAAAUCCCCGGGCUCAACCUGGGAACUGCAUUUGUGACUGCACGGCUAGAGUGUGUCAGAGGGGGGUAGAAUUCCUGGUGUAGCGGUGAAAUGCGUAGAUAUCAGGAGGAACACCGGCGGCGAAGGCGGCCCUCUGGAUCGUUGCUGACGCUGAUACGCGAAAGCGUGGGGAGCAAACAGG
rnacentral:rRNA from 1 species